rnacentral:lncRNA from 1 species
GCCCGUCUGGACCCCAGCCAGGCCAUGCAGAAGACAUCACUGACUCUGUCUCUACAGCGGCAGAUGAUGGAGAAUCUGGUGAUCGCCAAAGCAAGAGAAGAGACACUGCAGCGGAAGAUGGAGCAGCGCCGCCUGCGACUUCAGGAGGCUGCCAACAGGAGGUUCUGCAGUCAAGUUGCUCUGACCCCAGAGGAGCGGGAGCAGCGAGCCCUGUAUGCUGCCAUCUUGGAAUAUGAGCAAGACCAUCCCUUGCAGGGAACCCUAUCGUGGAGAUCCAACGGUGCUUUCCUCCAAGGUCCUCUGUCCUGCAGGACUGGCCAAAGCACUGGAGAGCCAAGCUCAAGCGGAGCCCAGGGGACCUGUCGCUGGUGACCAGCCUGGUCUCCCACCUGCUCAGCCUUCCUGAUCACCCCAUUUCCCAGCUCCUGAAGAAGCUCCAGUGUGCAGUAUACAGUGCACUGUACCCUGUUGUGAGCCGGGCUGCUAUCUGUGCUGUGCCUGCCCCAGGCAGCUGCUCCCUGCCCCCAGAAGCCAAUGGCCUCCUAGCUCCUGGGAGCCGGCGACUUCGGUCCUCCCAGAGCCUCUACUGCAUGCUCUCCCCCUCAGAGCCCAGUGCAGCCCCGAGAGCUCUGGACGGACCUCCUUCCACACCUUCUAUCCCCAUACUCCACUCAGGCACCCUGGACAGAGAGGCAGAUGGCAGCCCAGCAGGGCCCUCCUCACCCCUGGUGGGUGCUUUACCCCACCUGCCAGACAAGGACAGCUCCUUUGAGGACCUGGAACAGUUUUUGGCUAUGUCUGAGCCACAGACCCCAGGAGCAAAGAGGGAGCCCUUGCUGGAAUGUCUGAAGAGCACAGUAAAGGACAUUCACAAUGCCAUCGGUGAGCCUGCAGGGACCAACACAGGACCUGCUCCAGCUGCACCUGCCAGCCCUCAAGUGCUGCCCGGGACAGCAAGGAUCUCUGCCCACCCACCCACAGGAGCCAGCAUUCAGCCCAGAGGAGCAGGCCCUAGCCUACCUUAGUGCCUCAGACAGUGGGCGGAGCCGGUGUGGGAGCUGGGGAUGCGGUGCCUUUGAUUACAAAGGUGGCCUGGCUGUGCCUACUCCAAGGCUUCUAGGCAUUAUAUGAGCCAGAGGAGGCCUUAACAGCCUGGGGCCUUACUCGAAACUCUAAAGUUUCUGGAUUUGUGUAAAUUUAGAAGCCAGUCCUUUCAGAAGGGGUCAUCCACCCCUCCCUUUGGCAGAUCCUUUAGCUGCUUGGGAGCCCAAGUCAACCUCAGGGAAGAAGACCUAAGACCUGGCCCCAGCAAGGGGAGGGUUUGAGAGGCUGAGCAAGUAGGGUGACCAGGUAGAACCCCAAGGCCUAGGUGCUGUCGCUCAGCUCGACAGGAGCUGGAUCUGGUGACCAGGGCACC